rnacentral:rRNA from 1 species
UGCCAGCCGCCGCGGUAAUACGGAGGGGGCUAGCGUUGUUCGGAAUUACUGGGCGUAAAGCGCACGUAGGCGGUUUAUCAAGUUGGGCGUGAAAGCCCGGGGCUCAACCCCGGAACUGCGCUCAAAACUGGUAGGCUAGAGACCGGGAGAGGUAAGCGGAAUUCCCAGUGUAGAGGUGAAAUUCGUAGAUAUUGGGAAGAACACCAGUGGCGAAGGCGGCUUACUGGCCCGGUUCUGACGCUGAGGUGCGAAAGCGUGGGGAGCAAACAGGAUUAGAUA